rnacentral:rRNA from 1 species
GACGAACGCUGGCGGCGUGCCUAAUACAUGCAAGUAGAACGCUGAAGGAGGAGCUUGCUUCUCUGGAUGAGUUGCGAACGGGUGAGUAACGCGUAGGUAACCUGCCUGGUAGCGGGGGAUAACUAUUGGAAACGAUAGCUAAUACCGCAUAAGAGUAGAUGUUGCAUGACAUUUGCUUAAAAGGUGCAAUUGCAUCACUACCAGAUGGACCUGCGUUGUAUUAGCUAGUUGGUGAGGUAACGGCUCACCAAGGCGACGAUACAUAGCCGACCUGAGAGGGUGAUCGGCCACACUGGGACUGGGACACGGCCCAGACUCCUACGGGAGGCAGCAGUAGGGAAUCUUCGGCAAUGGACGGAGGUCUGACCGAGCAACGCCGCGUGAGUGAAGAAGGUUUUCGGAUCGUAAAGCUCUGUUGUAAGAGAAGAACGAGUGUGAGAGUGGAAAGUUCACACUGUGACGGUAUCUUACCAGAAAGGGACGGCUAACUACGUG